rnacentral:rRNA from 2 species
AUCGAUGAAGAACGCAGCGAAAUGCGAUAAGUAAUGUGAAUUGCAGAAUUCAGUGAAUCAUCGAAUCUUUGAACGCACAUUGCGCCCCCUGGUAUUCCGGGGGGCAUGCCUGUUCGAGCGUCAUUUCACCACUCAAGCCUCGCUUGGUAUUGGGCGUCGCGAGUCUCUCGCGUGCCUCAAAGUCUCCGGCUGUCUUGAUUCAAUUCCCAGCGUUGUGGCAACUAUUUCGCAGUGGAAACGAGUCAAAGUGGCCGUUAAAUCUUUCAAAGGUUGACCUCGGAUCAGGUAGGGAUACCCGCUGAACUUAAGCAUAUCAAUAAGCGGAGGAAAAGAAACCAACAGGGAUUGCCCUAGUAACGGCGAGUGAAGCGGCAACAGCUCAAAUUUGAAAUCUGGCGCAAGCCCGAGUUGUAAUUUGUAGAGGAUGCUUCUAGGUAGCGACCGGUCUAAGUUCCUUGGAACAGGACGUCAUAGAGGGUGAGAAUCCCGUAUGUGACCGGCCCGCACCUUCUACGUAGCUCCUUCGACGAGUCGAGUUGUUUGGGAAUGCAGCUCUAAAUGGGAGGUAAAUUUCUUCUAAAGCUAAAUACCGGCCAGAGACCGAUAGCGCACAAGUAGAGUGAUCGAAAGAUGAAAAGCACUUUGGAAAGAGAGUUAAAAAGCACGUGAAAUUGUUGAAAGGGAAGCGCUCACAACCAGACUUCUGUUCAGUGUUCCUCCGGUCUUUUGACCGGUCUACUCACUGUUCCGAGGCCAACAUCAUCUGGGACCGCUGGAUAAGACCUUAGGAAUGUAGCUCCCCUCGGGGAGUGUUAUAGCCUGUGGUGAUGCAGCGAGUCUCGGGUGAGGUCCGCGCUUCGGCAAGGAUGUUGGCGUAAUGGUUGUCAGCGGCCCGUCUUGAAACACGG